UCAAAAAUUAUAAAUAUUACAAGAUAUCAAUUACCUGUAGAAUAGAAGGACGGAAUACUACGCUGUAUUUAAAUUCUGUAUCUUAUCUUUUUCGUGAGAUUGCUUAAGAUGUGUGGAUGAAAUGAUUAAAUAAAGGAAAAGCGAAACACGACUUAUAAAAAUAAAAGACAUUACAGUCAAAUGGCAGAAAUUUCUGAUUCUGCCUGCUGAAUUGGUAUGUCUGCUGUUACAUUCAUGUUUUAUGAAGCACUCUAUAUACAUAAAUGUAUACGCGAGUGUAUUUCGCUGACGAUUUCAACUGGAGCCGUUCCACGGGUUGUAGAAACGAAACGGAACGAAACGCUAACCGAGUCCAUAGACUACUGCGACGCACUAACGGUUGCACGUUUGUCAUUCUGCCAGAAAUUCGUCGUCCUUUGUUGCAGCAAAUGUUACGCGUGCAUUUCCGGCGUGCUUGUAUGAGAGUAAAUCGAGACCGAAGUGAACGAUUGUGCCAAGCCAAGGUGCAACAAACGGAGUUUCAUAAAAUAAUGACGUCAAUCGCCGACAGAGGGAAAAAAUGUUGGAACAUUCACUGCGAACGUAACAUUAUGUCAUAGGAUGUUUUACGUCGCUGAAGAUAUUACGUGAAAGGACGUAAAUUAUAGUGAAAUCGGCGGAAUGGGUGAAGCGAAGAGUCGCGUCUCUAAUAUUAUUGAAAAAAGCUGUUUCAAGAAUGAUUUGUAUCUCAAUGGUUAUUAUUAUACGCAUACGUUUAAGGAUUUUAUUAUGUAAAUUCAUUUCCAACUGCUUUCUACUAUAUUUGUACGAGAAUCACGUUUCAUGGAAACAAAUAAAUAGGUUACAAGUACCAA